rnacentral:ncRNA from 2 species
AGCCAAGGAUGACUUGCCUG